rnacentral:rRNA from 1 species
UACGGAGGGUGCAAGCGUUAUCCGGAUUUACUGGGUUUAAAGGGUGCGUAGGCGGGCUUUUAAGUCAGCGGUGAAAUCUCCAGGCUCAACUUGGAAAUUGCCGUUGAUACUAUUAGUCUUGAAUUAAGUUGAGGUGGGCGGAAUGUGUCAUGUAGCGGUGAAAUGCUUAGAUAUGACACAGAACACCGAUUGCGAAGGCAGCUCGCUAAACUUAUAUUGACGCUGAGGCACGAAAGCGUGGGGAUCAAACAGG